UUUUGAUAUUUAACUUGGCCAAAAGCAGGUGAUCCCAGGUCUGGAGCAGAGCCUUCUAGACAUGUGUGUGGGAGAGAAGCGAAGGGCAAUCAUUCCUUCUCACUUGGCCUAUGGAAAACGGGGAUUUCCACCGUCUAUCCCAGCGGAUGCAGUGCUGCAGUUUGAUGUGGAGCUGAUUGCACUGAUCCGAGCCAACUACUGGCAAAAGCUGGUGAAGGGCAUUUUGCCUCUGAUAGGCAUGGCCAUGGCGCCAGCCCUCCUGGGCCUCAUUGGGUAUCACCUAUACAAAAAGGCCAACAGACCUAAAGUCUCCAGAAAGAAGCUCAAGGAAGAGAAACGAAACAAGAGCAAAAAGAAAUAAUAAAUAAUUUUUAAAAAUUU